rnacentral:lncRNA from 1 species
UCACAGUAUGGGCAAUUGUAGGCAGAGGAGGAAAAGAAAGAAAGAAAAAAUAUUUAAAUAUAAAUACAUUUAAAAGGAAAGAAAUGACCAAACCAGGAUACAAUAUCCACCUGGGCAUGUCUUAAUAUUGUGUAUGAAAAGUACUUAACAAACAUGUAGCAUUGUAAACACAGGUGAGUCAGCAUUACUAGACACAGCCAUAUUCAUCGGCUCCAGGUUUGGAAGAGAAAAAAAGUCUCCAAAUGUCAACAUCUACAAGAUCUAGGACGGAAGACCAUAAAGACUCAAUUUCACUUAUUUGUGGCCUUUUGUAAAUAUUUUAUUGUUUUCUGCACUUCUCAGAAGUUAUUUUAAGGAGUAAAGAGCAGUGCAAGGACUGCAACUUUAAACUGCCAAUAUAACAAUAUAAAUGUUAAAUUUCUGGUUUAAAUGUAGUUCAUCGAGGUACACAGAUCAUAUGACACCCAGAUUUGUUUAUAUAUAUAUAUAUAUAUAUAUAAACUUUUGGCUUCUUAACGCGAAUGUCCUUAAAUGAGAACAAAACAUUUGUGAAAGAGGCCUGAACUGAUUUGGAUUUGCUGUAAUUGUGCUACGGUUACUUACAGAGGGAAGUCAGACUUGAAACAACAUAGUUGGGUCUACAUGGUCAGCUAGUGCGCUCAUAAACAGGACACAAACACACACAAAAAAAAAAAGAAAAGAAUUUACAGAGUUUUUCCUUCAAUCGUUAGUAUCCUUCUCACUUCCUCUCUGCCAAUAGAACUACGUCCAAAAGGAGCACAAGCGAAGCAAACAGUACACACUGAGACACCAUUUCAACAUUGAAUUGGCCUUGGUUUAAAGUAUUAAUUAAACUAGCACAAUAAAUUAUGCAUUUUUAUCUUUAUACCUUUGAGUUUACCAAUUUGGUGUACAAACAGACCAUCACAUCUCUAAUGAAACUGUGGCAGGCAAUGUAACCUCUAAUUUGUAAGAUAAGAAAAUAGAGCAGCAAUAUUUGCACAAUAUAUGUACACAUUCAAGUAAAUAAAAUAGGAAAAAAAAAAUCAAAGACAGAUUGAUACGACUCAGCCUCUUGUCUUUGUUGGUCUGAUUGGCACUUUUGUGAAUAGGAGUGCAUUUCCAUUAAUAGAUAAUUUCUUUGCUUUUAUUUGAUCAACAUAUGAACCCACCCAGUGGUCUUGUAGACCAUUAGAUAUAUUUUAAUAAGCAUGGUUUACUUACUUUACUAAAUAUGUUUGGAGAAGGAAAAGACUUCUAGAUACUAGUCAACCAAACACAGGCUGCUGCUCUGUUAAGAACAAAUGCUGAUAUGAGCGUCGCAUCACUUCCUUUCACUUCACAGAGCAUUCGUCAGUCAACGUCUCGCUUUGUUUUCAUCGAUACAGGCCCGUCUUAAAUCAAAAUACCCCUAGCAUUCACCUAGAGAAGCACCCUUCUGUCAGUGUAUUAUGGAGGUAGAGGAAAAAUGCUUCCAUAAUGACAGGAAAAGUUUACUCACAGUUUUUAAGUAAACCGAGAGGUUAAUAUUGAAACUUUUCAUUCCCUCUGUCUGAAAUCCACAGCAGUCAAACAUCAAACCCAGG